GGCCUAACCAAUUGGGGCUAAUCGCUGGCACACGUUGAUGCAUUCGCAUGUUUAUUUUUAGGACUAAUCUAUUUAUUUUAUCAUGGAGCUAAUCAUGGUUGUGUGAAUCAAAGCUAGUUUUCUUCUAGAUCUAAUCAAUGGAGCUGAUCACUGGUAUACACCGAUGGAUUGGAUAUUCUGUAUUCAAGAACUACUCUCUUAUGGAUCUUAUUAUAGGACUGAUCAUGGCCAUAGUCAUCA
rnacentral:lncRNA from 1 species